UGCUUACCAUGCAAGUCGAACGGUAGAGUAGCAAUACUUGAGAGUGGCGAACGGGUGAGUAUAUAUCGGAACGUGCCCAGUCGUGGGGGAUAACGUAGAGAAAUUUACGCUAAUACCGCAUACGAUCUACGGAUGAAAGCGGGGGAUUCGCAAGAACCUCGCGCGAUUGGAGCGGCUGAUAUCAGAUUAGGUUGUUGGUGAGGUAAAAGCUCACCAAGCCGACGAUCUGUAGCUGGUUUGAGAGAACGACCAGCCACACUGGGACUGAGACACGGCCCAGACUCCUACGGGAGGCAGCAGUGGGGAAUUUUGGACAAUGGGCGAAAGCCUGAUCCAGCAAUGCCGCGUGCAGGAAGAAGGCCUUCGGGUUGUAAACUGCUUUUGUACGGAACGAAACGGUCCGCUUUAAUACAGUGGGCUAAUGACGGUACCGUAAGAAUAAGCACCGGCUAACUACGUGCCAGCAGCCGCGGUAAUACGUAGGGUGCGAGCGUUAAUCGGAAUUACUGGGCGUAAAGCGUGCGCAGGCGGUUAUAUAAGACAAUUGUGAAAUCCCCGGGCUCAACCUGGGAAUUGCAUCUGUGACUGUAUAGCUAGAGUACGGUAGAGGGGGAUGGAAUUCCGCGUGUAGCAGUGAAAUGCGUAGAUAUGCGGAGGGACACCGAUGGCGAAGGCAAUCCC
rnacentral:rRNA from 1 species